rnacentral:rRNA from 1 species
AGCGGUGGAUCACUUGGCUCGUACGUCGAUGAAAAACGAGGCGAGACUCGAAAGUUUAUGUGAAUUGCAGCCACGUUGAACAUAGAAAUUUUGAACGCACAUUGCGGUGUUGAGUUGACUCGACGCCGCGUCUGUCUGAGGGUCGUUAC